rnacentral:lncRNA from 1 species
CCCAUUUAUGUCAUGUGUGUUGGCACAACAGUUGUAAUUGCAUUAGCACCAAAGCAAGCUAGAAAAAAUAUCUGGCCAGAAUAAAAAUAUUUGUUCCAUUUAUUUCAGUGUGACAAUUGGCUUCCCACAGUUUUUGCAUUCUUUCUCCACCCUUACCUAAUCAAAGGGCUUAGAAUGUCUAAUCAUGACACGAAGGCAGAGAGAGAGAGAGAGAGAGAGAGAGAGAAUUUUGUUAUGCUCUUAACACCCACCUUUAUCUUAUUAUAGGUUAGGAACAAUGGAAGCACAUACCUCCAGAGCUGUUUGCUGGAAAAUAUCACAGGAAGCCACCUUCAAAGUGAAAAGGAUUUACUGCUUUGGGAGACUGUUGAUUCCCAUGGAAACCCAUCCAUUCAAGUACUGGAGCAGAGCAAAUGGGUCCCUAUUGCUGAAGCUCUCAGCAUGAGAAAUGGGAUCCUGACGAAAGCACUGGAGAACGACCUACAGUCUGGGGAAUGUAUGCAAGUAAGUAAGGAGGUUGUAAAUUAAGGAGAGUAUUUUUAGGAACUGCAGCAAANUAAGNAAUGGGUAUUGNAUGUUGUAGUGCUGCACAGNAUAGUGUGGUGNAAAUG